UACGAAGGGGGCUAGCGUUGCUCGGAAUCACUGGGCGUAAAGCGCACGUAGGCGGAUCUUUAAGUCAGGGGUGAAAUCCCAAGGCUCAACCUUGGAACUGCCUUUGAUACUGGGGAUCUCGAGUCCGGAAGAGGUUGGUGGAACUCCGAGUGUAGAGGUGAAAUUCGUAGAUAUUCGGAAGAACACCGGUGGCGAAGGCGGUUCUCUGGGCAUGUCCUGACGCUGAGGAGCGAAAGUGUGGGGAGCGAACAGG
rnacentral:rRNA from 1 species